rnacentral:rRNA from 1 species
GACGAACGCUGGCGGCGUGCUUGACACAUGCAAGUCGAACGGAAAGGCCCUGCUUUUGUGGGGUGCUCGAGUGGCGAACGGGUGAGUAACACGUGAGUAACCUGCCCUUGACUUCGGGAUAACUUCAGGAAACUGGGGCUAAUACCGGAUAGGAGCUCCUGCUGCAUGGUGGGGGUUGGAAAGUUUCGGCGGUUGGGGAUGGACUCGCGGCUUAUCAGCUUGUUGGUGGGGUAGUGGCUUACCAAGGCUUUGACGGGUAGCCGGCCUGAGAGGGUGACCGGCCACAUUGGGGCUGAGAUACGGCCCAGACUCCUACGGGAGGCAGCAGUGGGGAAUAUUGCACAAUGGGCGGAAGCCUGAUGCAGCAACUCCGCGUGCGGGAUGACGGCCUUCGGGUUGUAAACCGCUUUCGCCUGUGACGAAGCGUGAGUGACGGUAAUGGGUAAAGAAGCACCGGCUAACUACGUGCCAGCAGCCGCGGUGAUACGUAGGGUGCGAGCGUUGUCCGGAUUUAUUGGGCGUAAAGGGCUCGUAGGUGGUUGAUCGCGUCGGAAGUGUAAUCUUGGGGCUUAACCCUGAGCGUGCUUUCGAUACGGGUUGACUUGAGGAAGGUAGGGGAGAAUGGAAUUCCUGGUGGAGCGGUGGAAUGCGCAGAUAUCAGGAGGAACACCAGUGGCGAAGGCGGUUCUCUGGGCCUUUCCUGACGCUGAGGAGCGAAAGCGUGGGGAGCGAACAGGCUUAGAUACCCUGGUAGUCCACGCUGUAAACGGUGGGUACUAGGUGUGGGGUCCAUUCCACGGGUUCCGUGCCGUAGCUAACGCUUUAAGUACCCCGCCUGGGGAGUACGGCCGCAAGGCUAAAACUCAAAGGAAUUGACGGGGCCCCGCACAAGCGGCGGAGCAUGCGGAUUAAUUCGAUGCAACGCGUAGAACCUUACCUGGGUUUGACAUGGAUCGGGAGUGCUCAGAGAUGGGUGUGCCUCUUUUGGGGUCGGUUCACAGGUGGUGCAUGGCUGUCGUCAGCUCGUGUCGUGAGAUGUUGGGUUAAGUCCCGCAACGAGCGCAACCCUUGUUCACUGUUGCCAGCACGUUAUGGUGGGGACUCAGUGGAGACCGCCGGGGUCAACUCGGAGGAAGGUGGGGAUGACGUCAAGUCAUCAUGCCCCUUAUGUCCAGGGCUUCACGCAUGCUACAAUGGCUGGUACAGAGAGUGGCGAGCCUGUGAGGGUGAGCGAAUCUCGGAAAGUCGGUCUCAGUUCGGAUUGGGGUCUGCAACUCGACCUCAUGAAGUCGGAGUCGCUAGUAAUCGCAGGUCAGCAACGCUGCGGUGAAUACGUUCCCGGGGCU